rnacentral:lncRNA from 1 species
GCUAACUCCAUUGAUUCAAGUCAAAGAUAAAGACCAGGCUCUUCCUUCAAGGAAAAAUAAAAGGAAUCUGUAGGUUGCUGCUGUCAUUAUUUGGAGGAAGAGGAAAAAAAAAUAAUGCUGAGGAGUUGUUGAUGACUUAGAGCAACUGUUUUUCAGCCUACACGAAGGUGUUUGCCAGGUUGAUAAUGCUUCUGAUGGCCUUCAUCCUGUUUAUGUACAGCAGGAAGCCUGUGGGACCAAAUGCAGAUGUUGAGAGACUAAGGGGCCUUCAGUACUUUCCAAGCCUCCGUGAGAGAGAGGAGCUGAAGUCCAGUCCAAAGGUUGUGCUGGCAUCCAGGAGAUACUGUAGCAAAUCUCAAUGCGAUUUAUUUUAUUUUAUUUU